rnacentral:rRNA from 4 species
GACGAGGCACUACGGUGCUGAAGCAACAAAUGCCCUGCUUCCAGGAAAAGCCUCUAAGCAUCAGGUAACACGAAAUCGUACCCCAAACCGACACAGGUGGUCAGGUAGAGAAUACCAAGGCGCUUGAGAGAACUCGGGUGAAGGAACUAGGCAAAAUGGUGCCGUAACUUCGGGAGAAGGCACGCUGACACGUAGGUGAAGUGAUUUACUCAUGGAGCUGAAGUCAGUCGAAGAUACCAGCUGGCUGCAACUGUUUAUUAAAAACACAGCACUGUGCAAACACGAAAGUGGACGUAUACGGUGUGACGCCUGCCCGGUGCCGGAAGGUUAAUUGAUGGGGUCAGCGCAAGCGAAGCUCCUGAUCGAAGCCCCGGUAAACGGCGGCCGUAACUAUAACGGUCCUAAGGUAGCGAAAUUCCUUGUCGGGUAAGUUCCGACCUGCACGAAUGGCGUAAUGAUGGCCAGGCUGUCUCCACCCGAGACUCAGUGAAAUUGAACUCGCUGUGAAGAUGCAGUGUACCCGCGGCAAGACGGAAAGACCCCGUGAACCUUUACUAUAGCUUGACACUGAACAUUGAGCCUUGAUGUGUAGGAUAGGUGGGAGGCUUUGAAGUGUGGACGCCAGUCUGCAUGGAGCCGACCUUGAAAUACCACCCUUUAAUGUUUGAUGUUCUAACGUGGACCCGUAAUCCGGGUUGCGGACAGUGUCUGGUGGGUAGUUUGACUGGGGCGGUCUCCUCCUAAAGAGUAACGGAGGAGCACGAAGGUUGGCUAAUCCUGGUCGGACAUCAGGAGGUUAGUGCAAUGGCAUAAGCCAGCUUGACUGCGAGCGUGACGGCGCGAGCAGGUGCGAAAGCAGGUCAUAGUGAUCCGGUGGUUCUGAAUGGAAGGGCCAUCGCUCAACGGAUAAAAGGUACUCCGGGGAUAACAGGCUGAUACCGCCCAAGAGUUCAUAUCGACGGCGGUGUUUGGCACCUCGAUGUCGGCUCAUCACAUCCUGGGGCUGAAGUAGGUCCCAAGGGUAUGGCUGUUCGCCAUUUAAAGUGGUACGCGAGCUGGGUUUAGAACGUCGUGAGACAGUUCGGUCCCUAUCUGCCGUGGGCGCUGGAGAACUGAGGGGGGCUGCUCCUAGUACGAGAGGACCGGAGUGGACGCAUCACUGGUGUUCGGGUUGUCAUGCCAAUGGCACUGCCCGGUAGCUAAAUGCGGAAGAGAUAAGUGCUGAAAGCAUCUAAGCACGAAACUUGCCCCGAGAUGAGUUCUCCCUGAGACUUAGAGUCUCCUGAAGGAACGUUGAAGACGACGACGUUGAUAGGCCGGGUGUGUAAGCGCAGCGAUGCGUUGAGCUAACCGGUACUAAUGAACCGUGAGGCUUAACCUUACA